UACAGAGGUCUCAAGCGUUGUUCGGAUUCAUUGGGCGUAAAGGGCGCGUAGGCUGCGGGGCAAGUCGGGUGUGAAAUCUCAGAGCUCAACUCUGAAACUGCACUCGAUACUGCUUUGCUUGAGGACUGGAGAGGAGAUUGGAAUUCACGGUGUAGCAGUGAAAUGCGUAGAGAUCGUAAGGAAGACCAGUGGCGAAGGCGGGUCUCUGGACAGUUCCUGACACUGAGGCACGAAGGCCAGGGGAGCAAACGGG
rnacentral:rRNA from 1 species